rnacentral:lncRNA from 15 species
AUGAGCCGGUGUAUGCCCAAUACUAAAACCUGUGAUUCAGUUGUUCUGCUUUAUAGAAAAGUGUUCUCCAUCUGCUGUGGAUGCUUCUGCACAAUGGCAGGUAAAGUUGAAAGGGGACGCCAAUCAUGUCAUACUGUAGCAGUCAUAUUAGUCCUGUGCUCUUUGAUGCCGAGUUUAAUUUGUUUUAGCUUGCGAGGUCUGAGCAGAAAGCAGGACAAGGUAGUUAGUGAGGCCGUGGUGAUGGAAGUAAGGACGGGAAGCAUUCUCUUCAAUGGGAAAGAGCUUGACUCCCAGUCAGGGUCUAUCUCUGCUGCUGCCACAGAAAAUGAUGGAUUGCUGCACAUUGACUUGGAUCAACCAGAUGGCACAGGGAUAUUGGUGCAGAUGUCACAGUUGGAGGAUGCCAUGGCCAAUGAAGCUGCAUGGAGGCGCUUGAAUCCUUCCCUGUACUGUGGUCAAAAGAAGAUGAAGUUGAGAGCCAUGGGACCCAGAGCUGCUGACUUGCAGCUUUACAUGGGCAAUGCACGUCCUCUGCAUUUGCUUCAGGUGCCUGAAACCUGUGGCUACUCAAUGAAGCAAAAUGCACUAGGCCUCAUUUUGGUUGUUCCCUUCGAUGGCUGCAAUGUGAUACAAGAGAAUGGCAACUACGUGUUGUCAAUGAGUUGGCUUGAGACUCCUGUUAAAUUCAAAUGCCCCAUGUUAACAAGUUCUGCUGUAACACCUGCUUCGACUACCCCCAAGGCUGUCCAACAGCCCUGGAAACUUGCUUUCCCUCAUGGGGCCCGUCAUAAGCGCCAUACAAAACAUCCCCUGUCCAACCCCUAUAAUGCCUAUUGGCAGUGGUAUAACUACAUGUAUAUGAUGGCACAAGCCCCUUCUGCUACUACGACUACCAAGCCAUCUACAGAGAAACCCCCUCAAACGAAUCCUCCAGCCUCUCUCAAUUUUUACUACCCUUACUAUUUGCCUCAAUACCCCUACUACGCUCUACCACCCUAUCCAAAUGUGCCAGUGUGGACUGCUACACCAUUGGCCACUACAACUGCCAAAACUACUGGACCUCUCACUAGUGAGAUGACCACAACAGCCCCCUCAUCCACCAUGACUACUCAAAAAAUACCAAACCCCUAUUACCCACUAUAUAUUCCUUAUCCCUACUACCCUCCAGCAGGACAACCACUGCCAGGACUCCCUGAAAAUUCCCAAGUGUACUACUACCACCCAGUUAUCCAACAUUACUAUGGACCAUACCCACAAAUGCAAGUUACACAGCCUCCAACUCUCACAACUGCUAAGCCGGGUAACCCAACUCCCACCACUAAACCGACGACAAAGCCAACAACUGCCUCUGCUGCCACAGCUCCAACAACUUCAUGUACAAAAAAACCCAGCAGUGGCAAGUAUCCAGGCCCACUGAGUCCAUAUGUACCUUACUACCAGCUUCCCUUCACUCCAUACGUUUCAUACCAGGCCAAGGCUGGCAAACUCCCAUAUGACCAGAAAUACAUGCCUCCAGCUGGCUACAAAUCUGAUCUCCAGGCUCGAGCUCACCCACCCCCACAUCCAGGCUUCAACUACUGGCAAUCUGUGCCCUGGCUUCACCAUUCAACAGGCGAAGACAAUUUUCAGUUUGACUGGAAAAAUCUCUACCCUAAACAUGUCUAACUCAGAUGGGGCUAGUGUCCUAUGAUGCUUGGAAAUUUAACUUCAAUAAACUGGUCUUAUUUGAAACUGUUUCAUGCUUGAUUUAUUCUGCA